rnacentral:rRNA from 1 species
AGAGUUUGAUCCUGGCUCAGGACGAACGCUGGCGGCGUGCUUGAUACAUGCAAGUCAAGGAGAACAUUAUCUUCGGAUAAUAAGUAAACUGGCGAACGGGUGAGUAACGCGUAAACAACUUGCCUCAGAGAUUGGGACAACAUUGGGAAACCAGUGCUAAUACCAAAUAAUGCAGCGGGCUCUUCGGAGCACAGUUGUUAAAGUAGGCUUCGGCUUACACUUUGAGAUAGGUUUGCGUCCGAUUAGUUAGUUGGUAGAGUAAAAGCCUACCAAGACCAAGAUCGGUAGCUGGUCUGAGAGGAUGAUCAGCCACACUGGAAUUGAGAUACGGUCCAGACUCCUACGGGAGGCAGCAGUAAGGAAUUUUGCACAAUGGGCGAAAGCCUGAUGCAGCAACGCCGCGUGAACGAUGAAGUUUUUAGGAAUGUAAAGUUCUGUCGUAUGGGAAGAGAUCUUUCGAAUGUUAAUACCAUUCGUUAAUGACGGUACCAUACAAGAAAGCACCGGCUAACUUCGUGCCAGCAGCCGCGGUAAUACGAGGGGUGCUAGCGUUGUCCGGAAUAACUGGGCGUAAAGGGUCCGUAGGCGUUUUGCUAAGUUGAUCGUUAAAUCCAUCGGCUCAACCGAUGAUCUGCGAUCAAAACUGGCAGAAUAGAAUAUGUGAGAGGAAUGUGGAAUUCCUGGUGUAGCGGUGACAUGCGUAGAUAUCAGGAGGAACACCAAUGGCGAAGGCAACUUUCUGGCCUAUUACUGACGCUGAGGGACGAAAGCGUGGGGAGCGAACAGGAUUAGAUACCCUGGUAGUCCACGCCGUAAACGAUGAUCACUAGAUGUUGGCGAUAUAAUGUCAGCGUUCAAGAGAAAUCGAUAAGUGAUCCACCUGGGGAGUACGUUCGCAAGAAUGAAACUCAAAGGAAUUGACGGGGGCCCGCACAAGCGGUGGAGCAUGUGGUUUAAUUCGAUGCAACGCGAAGAACCUUACCUACACUUGACAUGCUGAGAAGUUACUAGAGAUAGUUUCGUGCCUUCGGGAACUCAGACACAGGUGCUGCAUGGCUGUCGUCAGCUCGUGUCGUGAGAUGUUGGGUUAAGUCCCGCAACGAGCGCAACCCUCACUUUUAGUUGCCAUCAUUUAGUUGGGCACUCUGAAAGAACUGCCAGUGAUAAGCUGGAGGAAGGUGGGGAUGACGUCAAGUCCUCAUGGCCCUUACGUGUUGGGCUACACACGUGCUACAAUGGUAUCUACAACAGGAAGCAAAACUGCGAGGUUAAGCAAAUCCUUAAAAGAUACCUCAGUUCGGAUUGCACUCUGCAACUCGAGUGCAUGAAGCUGGAAUUACUAGUAAUCGCGGAUCAGCGCGCCGCGGUGAAUACGUUCCCGGGUCUUGUACACACCGCCCGUCACACCAUGGGAGUUGGUUCUACCUUAAGGCAAGGUUUAAAACCCUUGACCACGGUAUAGUCAGCGACUGGGGUGAAGUCGUAACAAGGUAGCCGUAGGGGAACCUGCGGCUG